rnacentral:rRNA from 1 species
UACGUAGGGGGCAAGCGUUGUCCGGAAUUAUUGGGCGUAAAGAGCGCGUAGGCGGUCCGAUAAGUCGGCUGUGAAAGUCAAGGGCUCAACCCUUGAAAGCCGGCCGAUACUGUCGGACUAGAGUCCGGAAGAGGAGAGUGGAAUUCCUGGUGUAGCGGUGAAAUGCGCAGAUAUCAGGAAGAACACCCGUGGCGAAAGCGGCUCUCUGGAACGGUACUGACGCUGAGACGCGAAAGCGUGGGGAGCGAACAGG